GACGAACGCNGGCGGCGUGCCUAAUACAUGCAAGUCGAGCGUAGUUUUUCUGGUGCUUGCACUAGAAAAACUNAGCGGCGAACGGGUGAGUAACACGUAAAGAACCUGCCUCAUAGACUGGGACAACUAUUGGAAACGAUAGCUAAUACCGGAUAACAGCAUUAACUGCAUGGUUGAUGUUUAAAAGUUGGUUAUGCUAACACUAUGAGAUGGCUUUGCGGUGCAUUAGCUAGUUGGUGGGGUAAAGGCCCACCAAGGCGACGAUGCAUAGCCGACCUGAGAGGGUGAUCGGCCACACUGGGACUGAGACACGGCCCAGACUCCUACGGGAGGCAGCAGUAGGGAAUCUUCCGCAAUGGGCGAAAGCCUGACGGAGCAACGCCGCGUGAGUGAAGAAGGAUUUCGGUUCGUAAAGCUCUGUUGUUAGGGAAGAANGGAUAUGUAGUAACUAUACAUAUAAGAGACGNUNCCNANCCA
rnacentral:rRNA from 1 species